rnacentral:rRNA from 1 species
GGUUAAGCGACUAAGCGUACACGGUGGAUGCCUUGGCAGUCAGAGGCGAUGAAGGACGUGCUAAUCUGCGAUAAGCGUCGGUAAGGUGAUAUGAACCGUUAUAACCGGCGAUUUCCGAAUGGGGAAACCCAGUGUGAUUCGUCACACUAUCAUUAACUGAAUCCAUAGGUUAAUGAGGCGAACCGGGGGAACUGAAACAUCUAAGUACCCCGAGGAAAAGAAAUCAACCGAGAUUCCCCCAGUAGCGGCGAGCGAACGGGGAGCAGCCCAGAGCCUGAAUCAGUGUGUGUGUUAGUGGAAGCGUCUGGAAAGGCGCGCGAUACAGGGUGACAGCCCCGUACACAAAAAUGCACAUGCUGUGAGCUCGAUGAGUAGGGCGGGACACGUGGUAUCCUGUCUGAAUAUGGGGGGACCAUCCUCCAAGGCUAAAUACUCCUGACUGACCGAUAGUGAACCAGUACCGUGAGGGAAAGGCGAAAAGAACCCCGGCGAGGGGAGUGAAAAAGAACCUGAAACCGUGUACGUACAAGCAGUGGGAGCACAGAGCAAUCUGUGUGACUGCGUACCUUUUGUAUAAUGGGUCAGCGACUUAUAUUCUGUAGCAAGGUUAACCGAAUAGGGGAGCCGAAGGGAAACCGAGUCUUAACUGGGCGUUAAGUUGCAGGGUAUAGACCCGAAACCCGGUGAUCUAGCCAUGGGCAGGUUGAAGGUUGGGUAACACUAACUGGAGGACCGAACCGACUAAUGUUGAAAAAUUAGCGGAUGACUUGUGGCUGGGGGUGAAAGGCCAAUCAAACCGGGAGAUAGCUGGUUCUCCCCGAAAGCUAUUUAGGUAGCGCCUCGUGAAUUCAUCUCCGGGGGUAGAGCACUGUUUCGGCAAGGGGGUCAUCCCGACUUACCAACCCGAUGCAAACUGCGAAUACCGGAGAAUGUUAUCACGGGAGACACACGGCGGGUGCUAACGUCCGUCGUGAAGAGGGAAACAACCCAGACCGCCAGCUAAGGUCCCAAAGUCAUGGUUAAGUGGGAAACGAUGUGGGAAGGCCCAGACAGCCAGGAUGUUGGCUUAGAAGCAGCCAUCAUUUAAAGAAAGCGUAAUAGCUCACUGGUCGAGUCGGCCUGCGCGGAAGAUGUAACGGGGCUAAACCAUGCACCGAAGCUGCGGCAGCGACGCUUAUGCGUUGUUGGGUAGGGGAGCGUUCUGUAAGCCUGUGAAGGUGUACUGUGAGGUAUGCUGGAGGUAUCAGAAGUGCGAAUGCUGACAUAAGUAACGAUAAAGCGGGUGAAAAGCCCGCUCGCCGGAAGACCAAGGGUUCCUGUCCAACGUUAAUCGGGGCAGGGUGAGUCGACCCCUAAGGCGAGGCCGAAAGGCGUAGUCGAUGGGAAACAGGUUAAUAUUCCUGUACUUGGUGUUACUGCGAAGGGGGGACGGAGAAGGCUAUGUUGGCCGGGCGACGGUUGUCCCGGUUUAAGCGUGUAGGCUGGUUUUCCAGGCAAAUCCGGAAAAUCAAGGCUGAGGCGUGAUGACGAGGCACUACGGUGCUGAAGCAACAAAUGCCCUGCUUCCAGGAAAAGCCUCUAAGCAUCAGGUAACAUCAAAUCGUACCCCAAACCGACACAGGUGGUCAGGUAGAGAAUACCAAGGCGCUUGAGAGAACUCGGGUGAAGGAACUAGGCAAAAUGGUGCCGUAACUUCGGGAGAAGGCACGCUGAUAUGUAGGUGAAGUCCCUCGCGGAUGGAGCUGAAAUCAGUCGAAGAUACCAGCUGGCUGCAACUGUUUAUUAAAAACACAGCACUGUGCAAACACGAAAGUGGACGUAUACGGUGUGACGCCUGCCCGGUGCCGGAAGGUUAAUUGAUGGGGUCAGCGCAAGCGAAGCUCUUGAUCGAAGCCCCGGUAAACGGCGGCCGUAACUAUAACGGUCCUAAGGUAGCGAAAUUCCUUGUCGGGUAAGUUCCGACCUGCACGAAUGGCGUAAUGAUGGCCAGGCUGUCUCCACCCGAGACUCAGUGAAAUUGAACUCGCUGUGAAGAUGCAGUGUACCCGCGGCAAGACGGAAAGACCCCGUGAACCUUUACUAUAGCUUGACACUGAACAUUGAGCCUUGAUGUGUAGGAUAGGUGGGAGGCUUGGAAGUGUGGACGCCAGUCUGCAUGGAGCCGACCUUGAAAUACCACCCUUUAAUGUUUGAUGUUCUAACGUUGACCCGUAAUCCGGGUUGCGGACAGUGUCUGGUGGGUAGUUUGACUGGGGCGGUCUCCUCCUAAAGAGUAACGGAGGAGCACGAAGGUUGGCUAAUCCUGGUCGGACAUCAGGAGGUUAGUGCAAUGGCAUAAGCCUAGCUUGACUGCGAGCGUGACGGCGCGAGCAGGUGCGAAAGCAGGUCAUAGUGAUCCGGUGGUUCUGAAUGGAAGGGCCAUCGCUCAACGGAUAGAAGGUACUCCGGGGAUAACAGGCUGAUACCGCCCAAGAGUUCAUAUCGACGGCGGUGUUUGGCACCUCGAUGUCGGCUCAUCACAUCCUGGGGCUGAAGUAGGUCCCAAGGGUAUGGCUGUUCGCCAUUUAAAGUGGUACGCGAGCUGGGUUUAGAACGUCGUGAGACAGUUCGGUCCCUAUCUGCCGUGGGCGCUGGAGAACUGAGGGGGGCUGCUCCUAGUACGAGAGGACCGGAGUGGACGCAUCACUGGUGUUCGGGUUGUCAUGCCAAUGGCACUGCCCGGUAGCUAAAUGCGGAAGAGAUAAGUGCUGAAAGCAUCUAAGCACGAAACUUGCCCCGAGAUGAGUUCUCCCUGACUCCUUGAGAGUCCUGAAGGAACGUUGAAGACGACGACGUUGAUAGGCCGGGUGUGUAAGCGCAGCGAUGCGUUGAGCUAACCGGUACUAAUGAACCGUGAGGCUUAACCUU